rnacentral:tRNA from 1 species
GCCGGAGUGCUGGAAUUGGCAGACAGGCACGCUUCAGGAGCGUGUGCUUGAAAAAGCAUGGAGGUUCAAAUCCUCCUCGGGGCACAA